rnacentral:rRNA from 1 species
CAGUCGCCGCGGGAAUACGUAGGGUGCGAGCGUUAAUCGGAAUUACUGGGCGUAAAGCGUGCGCAGGCGGUUUUGUAAGACAGGCGUGAAAUCCCCGGGCUCAACCUGGGAAUGGCGCUUGUGACUGCAAAGCUGGAGUGCGGCAGAGGGGGAUGGAAUUCCGCGUGUAGCAGUGAAAUGCGUAGAUAUGCGGAGGAACACCGAUGGCGAAGGCAAUCCCCUGGGCCUGCACUGACGCUCAUGCACGAAAGCGUGGGGAGCAAACAGGAUUAGAGACCCGAGUAGUCCUGUCUCUUAUACA